rnacentral:rRNA from 1 species
AUGUACACCCCUGCACCUGAAGACUUGCUAAGUUUUGGACAAUUCCCUCCAAUGCAUAAUUAUAAUUUUCAACCUCCGCAAGUGCAGCAUCCUGUACAAGGGCACCAAAAUAUGGAUACCAAUCAACCGGCUGAUGGUUCCGAUGAUGAAGCUGAAGCAAGUAUCAUUGAUCCUUCCUCCCUCUACACACUAGAUCACUACCUUGUCCAGAUGGACAUGUUAGACUCAUUCGCCAAGGAGAUCGCAAUAGAAGUGAAGGAAAGCCUUGACGCUCAAGGAAGAUCAAGCAGAAGUGGUCCGAGGAUUUACGUGAACAGGCCACGUGAAGAAGCUGCUGAGCAAUUGGUAUGCGACUAUUUCUGUGAUAAUCCUAUCUACAAGAAGAAGGUAUUUCGUAGAAGAUUUCGGAUGAGAAGGCCCCUUUUCGAGCGUAUCGUACAUGCACUAGGAGAGUGGUCUCCAGAGUUCACGCAAAGGAAAGAUGCUCUUGACCGUGAUGGACUAUCUCCAUUGCAGAAAUGCACAUCAGCUAUUCGCCAAUUGGCAUAUGGUACUCCGGCGGACGCUCUCGAUGAGUACCUGAAGAUUGCCGAGUGCACAUCAAUUAAGUGCUUAAAGCUGUUCGUCAAAGGCAUGAUUCAUAUAUUUGGUGAUGAGUAUAUGCGAAAACCCAAUGUCAACGAUGUGCAGCGCUUACUUGAUAUUGGAGAGAGUCGUGGGUUUCCUGGCAUGUUAGGAAGCCUCGACUGUAUGCACUGGCGUUGGGACAAAUGUCCCAUGGAGUGA